GAUGAACGCUGACAGCAUGCUUAACACAUGCAAGUCAACUGUGGCGGACGGGUGAGUAACGCGUAAAGAACUUGCCUCACAGAUAGGGACAAAAUUUGGAAACGAAUGCUAAUACCUGAUACUGUGAGAGAGCUUUGCGUCCCAUUAGCUAGUUGGAGAGGUAACGGCUCACCAAGGCGAGGAUGGGUAGCCGGCCUGAGAGGGUGAUCGGCCACAAGGGGACUGAGACACGGCCCGUACUCCAACGGGAGGCAGCAGUGGGGAAUAUUUGACAAUGGACCAAAGUCUGAUCCAGCAAUUCUGUGUGAAAGAUAAAGUUUUCGGAAUGUAAAGUACUUUCAGUUGGGAAGCAGUACCAACAGAAGAAGUGACGGCUAAAUACGUGCCAGCAGCCGCGGUAAUUC
rnacentral:rRNA from 1 species